GAUGAACGCUGGCGGCGUGCCUAAUACAUGCAAGUCGAGCGAACGGACGAGAAGCUUGCUUUUGUGAUGUUAGCGGCGGAGGGUUGAGUAACAUGUGGAUAAUCUUCCUAUGAAACUGGGAUAACUUCGGGAAACCGGCGCUAAUACCGGAUAAUAUUUUGAACCGCUUGGUUCAAAAGUGAAAGACGGUCUUGCUGUCUCUUAUAGAUGGAUCCGCGCUGCAUUAGCUAGUUGGUAGGGUAACGGCUUACCCAGGCAACGAUGCAUAGCCGACCUGAGAGGGUGAUCGCCCACACGGGAACUGAGACUCAUUACACACUCCUACGGGAGGAAGCAGUAGAGAAUCUUACGCGAGGGGCGAGAGCGUGACGGUGCAACGCCGCGGGAGUGAUGAUGGUCUUAGGAUCGUUGAGCUCUGUUAUUAGGAAAGAACAUAUGUGUAAGUAGCUGUGAACAUCUUGACGGUACCAAAACAAGAAGCCACGGCUAACUACGUG
rnacentral:rRNA from 1 species